UACGUAGGGUGCGAGCGUUAAUCGGAAUUACUGGGCGUAAAGCGUGCGCAGGCGGCUUCGCAAGUCAGACGUGAAAUCCCCGGGCUUAACCUGGGAAUGGCGUUUGAAACUACGGAGCUGGAGUAUGGCAGAGGGGGGUGGGAAUUCCACGUGUAGCGGUGAAAUGCGUAGAUAUGUGGAGGAACACCGAUGGCGAAGGCAGCCCCCUGGGCCAAUACUGACGCUCAUGCACGAAAGCGUGGGGAGCGAACAGG
rnacentral:rRNA from 1 species